UGAGAAUUGAUCAGGACAUGG
rnacentral:piRNA from 1 species